rnacentral:lncRNA from 1 species
GUCGGCGCGGGCGGGCGGGCUGGCAGCCGGGCGGUGAUCGCCCCCUGCGCCUCGGGACGCGCACAGCAGGCCGCCCCCCCCCCCCGCUCCCCGCCCCGCCCCCCGCACCUGUGCGCCCCGCCCCCGCCUCCCCCCGCCCCCCGCCCCCGGGGCUCCCGCGGGGUCCCGGCCUGCGCCCUCCGGGGGGGACCCCCGCGCCGCCCCCGCACCUCCCAGCCCCGCGCUGCGGCUGCGGCCCGCCUCUGGGAGCGGGGCGCGCCGGGCGGGGAGGAGCCGGGGCGGGGCGGGGCGCGGAGGAGGGAGGGGCGGGGGGGCCGCAGCCAGUCCGCAGCCGGCGGGGCCGGGUUCGCCCAGACGCGCGCGCCCGCAGCCGAGCUCGGGCCGGGACCGCCGCCGGGAGGGGGACCCCGCGGCCCGGAGCGCUGCUGCCCGGAGGCCCUCGGCGCCGCGGGCCCGGGAGGAUGCGCGCCGCCCCCCGCACGGCGGCCCCGGGCCUGGGCGAGCCUGCGCCGCGGGAGCGCGCCCUGCAGCCCCUGCAGCCCCUGCAGCCCCCGCCGCCCGCCCCCGCCCCGCCCCGCGCGCCGCGCGCCCUGAGCCCCCCGCGCCCCCCCCGCCCCCCGCCCCCGCUCGGCCCGCCCCGCCCCGCCCCGCCCGCCCGCCCGAGCCCGCGCCCGCGCCCCGGCUUCCGAAACUACGGGACCAAGUGCCGCCGGGACUGCGGGAGCCGCGCCGGGGACCCAGAGAUAAUCAGGUACCCAGAGGCUCCAGCAGCGGUGUCCUCCCUUCUCGAUGGUGUUUCUGAUGUCCGCUUCAGGAGUCUCCUUGGCCAGACUUGA